rnacentral:rRNA from 1 species
GAUGAACGCUAGCUACAGGCUUAACACAUGCAAGUCGAGGGGCAGCGGGAUUGAAGCUUGCUUCAAUUGCCGGCGACCGGCGCACGGGUGAGUAACGCGUAUCCAACCUUCCGUACACUCAGGGAUAGCCUUUCGAAAGAAAGAUUAAUACCUGAUGGUAUGAUGAGAUUGCAUGAUAGCAUCAUUAAAGAUUUAUCGGUGUACGAUGGGGAUGCGUUCCAUUAGGUAGUAGGCGGGGUAACGGCCCACCUAGCCGACGAUGGAUAGGGGUUCUGAGAGGAAGGUCCCCCACAUUGGAACUGAGACACGGUCCAAACUCCUACGGGAGGCAGCAGUGAGGAAUAUUGGGUCAAUGGACGAGAGUCUGAACCAGCCAAGUAGCGUGAAGGAUGAAGGUCCUACGGAUUGUAAACUUCUUUUAUAAGGGAAUAAACCCUCCCACGUGUGGGAGCUUGUAUGUACCUUAUGAAUAAGCAUCGGCUAACUCCGUGCCAGCAGCCG